rnacentral:ncRNA from 1 species
UGGAGCUUGCCUAAGGAUAUCAAAAAAACAAAAGGAAAAGGGUCAGAUGUAUUAUUCAAAAUAGGUCAACUUUAUCCUAUUGUAACGCCCUCUAUGUUACGUGCAUGGCUGUCGUCAGCUCGUGCCGUAAGGUGUUGGGUUAAGUCUCGCAACGAGCGCAACCCUCGUGUUUAGUUUGUCAUCAUUGAGUUUGGAAUCCUGAAUAGAUUGUCGGUGAUAAGCCGGAGGAAGGUGAGGAUGACGUUAAGCCAUCAUGCCCCCUUAUGCCCUAAGCGGCACACGUGCUACAAUGGUCGGGACAAAGGGUUGCGAUCCUGCGAGGGUGAGCUAACCCCAAAAACCUGUCCUCAGUUCGGAUUACAUGUUGCAACUCGCUUGCAUGAAGUCGGAA